AUGUCGGUGGAGCAGCGGGAGCUUGCACCUCUGAAGCUUCGAUCUCACGGGGUCAACCUUGGGUGGAUGCGCUAUGAUGAGCGAUACACACCGUAUGUAAGGGAGACAGGACUUCUCCCUUUCAUUCAGUUGGUCAGCCGGUUGACGCCACCCAACAAUGCUGCAGCAAUCACCGCGCUUAUUGAUCAUUGGAGGCCGGAGACACACACUUUCCAUCUUCGGACCGGGGAGAUGACCGUGACGCUCCAGGAUAUUGCUAUGAUCACCGGUCUUCCUAUCAAUGGGAAUCCUCUAUGUAUGAACACCGAUUCUGAUGGGUGGCACGCGCAGAUGCAUGCCCUUAUCGGUAUGGUUCCUCCGGAGCCUCGGGAACCAGAAGCAGAAGACAACAAGAAGGAAAGAGUCGCAGCCGGUGCUCCUUUCACCUGGAUUACAAUGCACUUUGGUACUUGCCCCGAGGAAGCUAAUGAGGACACGGUCAAGACAUAUGCUCGUGUCUACAUGUGGUACGUGAUAUCCAAGACUAUGUUUGCUGAUGGCACAUGCAAGAAUGCUCCAUGGAUGUGGCUGAAGGCGUUGACCGUCUUCGAUAGCAAAUGGAGUUGGGGUUCGGCGACACUGGCUUACUUGUAUAGACAGUUGGACGAAGCCUGUUGUAGGCAAUCUGGAGGUAUUGGUGGUUGUAUGCUCGCACUUUCCAUAUGGAGCUGGGAGCGUUUGCCGGUUGGACGACCGAAGACCGUGAAGUACGAGGAUUGGGACGACAAAGACGACCCACUACGGCUCCCCACUUGGGCUUACAAGUGA
rnacentral:rRNA from 1 species